rnacentral:misc_RNA from 1 species
AAAAAAAAAAAAAAAAAAGAAUGAUCACAUUGAAUGUCUGAAUCAAGUCAUCAACAAUCACGGCAAACUACGAUGUAAUUUCAGAUGCUUCAGUUGAACAAAUGAAACAAAACAAGCAGGAAAAAAGGACUCGGGACAAGAAAUCAAAGCAAGAUAAAUAGAAAAAAUUUGAUGCGGUUACAACAACAGGAUGAACGGCCAUCCAUGCAUACAAGCAAAUGAUGCUACCAGUUUCAGCCUUCAAAGAAUGAGAAGCAAGUUUCCCUUCCAAAUUCCAGCCACAACACUCAGCAGAGAUUAUCACAACGUUGUUCCAAGCUAUCUUUUUACCCUUUCUUAAUAAGGCAGCUUAGCUUCAUUUGUGGACCUCUUUUACAAAAGCCACUUCCCCACAUUCAGCAUUUGGAGACAGCAAGUGCUUCUCUUGAUCUGCAUCAUCGAUCUCUGUUGACUCACGGGGGGUAGUGGUUGCCAAGGAUUCAUUUCCAUCUUCCAUGCACUCGUGGUAUUCAGGCAGCUGUUUAACGGUAGUUACUUGAAGGGUAUCUGGAAGCAGACAACUACAUAAAGCACCUGUAUUUUGGACCAAUCAUGAACGGUUGAUUUAUUUUCAUCAAUAGUGCUGCCAACAGCAAACAUAUGGGAAAAGCAGAGCAAGAAAACGAAGACAUCUUUUGUUUCUUCAGUUUAUCUUUUAUGUUUUGGUAGUUGAAUAAACCAAGCCAUAACCCUCGACUUGAAGUCACAAAUCUAGAAGUCCUCAAAUCAUCAAGAUUAACUCAUUAUCCAAUCAUGGUCCCACCAGAGAGCACAUUUGAAGAUUGCCCCACCCUAACAUUUUUCCAUAAGAUACAAAACCUGCACUCAUAUUAUUAUUGCAAGUCCAAGAUUUUACUAUUUCACCACAUAAUGGUCUCUACCAUUGCCAAUUGCAAAGAUAAUAAAACGCUUGAUGCCAUCUUUUGAAAGUCCAAGUUUAUUAAAAUAAUAAAGUUAAUUCAUCACUACUGCAAGGAAUGGGAAAACUGAAUUGAAAAGCCAUAUUGAUUAAAAUAAAGCCAUUUAAUUUUCAAAGGGUUCAAAUUCCUCAAAAACAAAUAAUCAGAAUUUAUUUUGAGAAGUCCACAGAAACACCAUAAAUUGAUCCUUGAAUUCACAACUCAACACCUAAAUUAAACAAGAAGCUCAAGGCGUACUCUUUAACUGCAACAAUGAUGUUGGCUUUAGCUGUUCAAAAACCCAUUUUAGCAGAAACUCAACAAAAUUUACCGAGCUAUGGAUGACAGAAGAAGAAUCAAAUGAAUAACUACUUGGAAGAAAUGCUGCAUACCUAGCCGGGCAAGUCGAUUUACCCACCCUGGUAUCCGCUUGCCUACCAACCUGUGUGAGAUGUCAUCUGUAAAAUGGUUGCAAUUCUUAGAGAUGAGGUGAUAGGCGUCUCCGUGAUAUUCAGAAGCCACAGUUUCUAUGAAUGUCCGAAAUUCAGAGGCAGACAUAUUCAUGCGGCCCAGUGGGAUGGAACAUCUAUAAAUGAAACCAGGACAGCUUCUGGGCUCCACUUCAAAAACUCCACUGACUGGUAACUCAUGGGCUCCAAAUCCAUACUCUUUACCCUGUACUUCAAUGCCUGAAUGAAAAAUCCCAAAACCGAACCAAUAGGUGUAAUUGUUGAUAGGAGUGAGAUCGUAAACAUUCAACACCAGCUGGGUCUCCGUAUUCUCACUCUGAGAGCUAGAAAUCGAGCUAUUCUCUGCCCCCAUUAGACUACCAAGGAAAAAAAAAUUCCUUUAAAUUCGAGAAAAGCCCUCAAAAAAGCAGAAAUGUUUGGCUUUCUUUAGUUUUUACUCAUUGGAUAAAGAAGAAGAAGAAGAAGAAAAUAGGUGUGUUUGUCCUGAUAUCAAAGGUUUAUAUGUCAUGCAAGAACUUGUUUGUGGUUGCUUGUCAUGUAAAAAGAACCAUGCAUCUACUCCUCUCUAGGGCGGAGUAAACUAUGCCGUAGGAGCAUGGGAGCUGUUUCCUGGCGUUGAUUCUGGAGACCUUUUGUCAUUGUUUACGAGUUCCCGUGCUCUCUACUCUGAUUUACCUACAGUACCCUUAUCGUUCUUUAAACGUUAUUAGAUAAAUCAAUUUAUUACUUGCUUUCAGCUUUGAGAUGAUCAUAAUACGGUAGUUGCACUUGCACACUUGCAUUCACUCACACACAAAGCACAUGCCACUUGUAACUGAAGCCAAAUAAAUAAAUGCAAGGGCUGCAUUUGCUCUUUGCUUCCAUUUUCAUUUAUGGACUUG